rnacentral:lncRNA from 1 species
CUUGCGAAAGGAACCCGAGCAAACAUCACCCCAGAAAGGAAGCUUUUCUGCCAUCUUCAGUUGAAAUCUAAGCUACACGUUGAAGAUCAGUCUCUACCCAACAGCACACCUUCUUUGAGCAAAUGAUUUUUGUCUCCAUUCAACAAAGUAAUAACAAGGUUCUGGUGUGCUUCCAGCUCUGCAGGGAAGGGGCCUGAGCAUGGAGCAGCCCUUGAUUCCCACUGUACCCAGAGCAGCCAGACUCUUGCAGACGGACAGGGAAUUCCCCGAGGGAGCCUAAUCCUGCCAUGGCUUGCCUGCAGAGCUCGCUGCAGUGCUGGGUUCCAGUCCCUGAGCAAACAACAACUCGUGGCCCGUGGCUGGUGCCAGAGGACUGCUCCUAUCCAGCAACUGAUA